AUACGUAGGGGGCGAGCGUUGUCCGGAAUGACUGGGCGUAAAGGGCGUGUAGGCGGCCGAUUAAGUCUGGAGUGAAAGUCCUGCAUUCAAUGUGGGAAUUGCUUUGGAGACUGGUUGGCUUGAGUGCGGAAGAGGUAAGUGGAAUUCCCAGUGUAGCGGUGAAAUGCGUAGAGAUUGGGAGGAACACCAGUGGCGGAGGCGACUUGCUGGGCCGUAACUGACGUUGAGGCGCGAGAGCGUGGGGAGCGAACAGGAUUAGAUACACUGGUAGUUCGCGCGGUAAACGAUGAAUGCUAGGUGUUGCGGGGGUCGACCCCUGCAGUGCCGGAGUAAACACAAUAAGCAUUCCGCCUGGGGAGUACGGCCGCAAGGUUGAAACUCAAAGGAAUUGACGGGG
rnacentral:rRNA from 1 species